GGAUGAAGUUCAGCGGUAGAGUGUUGCCUAGCAUGCACAAGGUCCUGGGUUUGAUCCCCAGCACCA
rnacentral:tRNA from 1 species